rnacentral:rRNA from 1 species
UACAGAGGUGGCAAGCGUUGUUCGGAAUUACUGGGCGUAAAGCGUGCGUAGGCGGUGAUGUAAGACAGAUGUGAAAUCCCCGGGCUCAACCUGGGAACUGCAUUUGUGACUGCAUCGCUGGAGUGCGGCAGAGGGGGAUGGAAUUCCGCGUGUAGCAGUGAAAUGCGUAGAUAUGCGGAGGAACACCGAUGGCGAAGGCAAUCCCCUGGGCCUGCACUGACGCUCAUGCACGAAAGCGUGGGGAGCAAACAGG